rnacentral:rRNA from 1 species
GACGAACGCUGGCGGCGUGCCUAAUACAUGCAAGUCGAACGAGUGGCGGACGGGUGAGUAACACGGGGGAACCUACCCAUCAGAGGGGGAAAAAACUUGGAAACAGGUGCUAAUACCGCAUACGGAGGGAUGAACCCGCGGUGCAUUAGGUAGUAGGUGGGGUAAAGGCUCACAUAGGCGAGGGUCUCUAGCUGGUCUGAGAGGAUGAUCAGCCACACUGGGACUGAGACACGGCCCAGACUCCUACGGGAGGCAGCAGUGGGGAAUAUUGCACAAUGGGCGCAAGCCUGAUGCAGCCAUGCCGCGUGUAUGAAGAAGGCCUUAGGGUUGUAAAGUACUUUCAGCGGGGAGGCGUUACCCGCAGAAGAAGCACCGGCUAACUCCGUGCCAGCAGCCGCGGUAAUAC